AGGAUAAUAGUUAAAUCAAUAACAUUUAAGUUGCAUUUAAAAAUUAUAUAAAUAUUUAUCUUA
rnacentral:tRNA from 1 species